UGCCCCUCUCAGGACUGGAUUUCACACCUCGUCACAGUCUGAAGCUGCACAAGAAAUCCUGGCUGGGAGAGCCACCACUUCCCUGAGCUCUCUCUUAGUGUGGGGGGCAGAUUUUCUGAAAAUGCCACGGGUGUGUGUACUUUGCUGCCUUGUGUGAAAUGGAGCGUGUGCCUGUAAGCGAACUGCCCAGCAGCCUUCUGCCAGCUUACCUCAGCCCCAUGCCACAGGCAGCCUGCAGGAAUGGAAACCUUUCUACUGAGCCUCAAGUCCUACUCUUAAAGGAGUGGCAGAGAAAACAGGAUCAAGCCCAGAUUUCCAUUUCUACACAUAUUUGAAGAGCCAACACUAUUUCUGCAGGAAGAAAUGGCUAAACUUCCCAUUGUCUUUAAAAAGGCAAAGAAUGAAAGUAUCAGUCAAAUAUAUUUAAUUUGAUGGUAAAAGUCAGCAAUCAGUUGGUGUUACAUAAGUUGUGUCCCCAUACAGUUGAGAAACUCAACCCAGCCCGCCCUUUCCUGCCAAAGUGGAGCUUGGAGGCCCCAAGAAUCUCUUCUGCAGUAGUACUUCAGCAGUAAUCCCAAGGAGCAUGUUCAGACUUUCAGUUUUCUAUCAGAGUACCUACCUUCUCAGAGGCUGGCUUUCUUCUGUACCAGAUGCUGUACAAACACAGCACUUGAUCUUGUGUGCUCCAGUGACAGAUGGACAGCAAUGGCAAUACUGUCUGACAUUUCCGUUUGCUUGCCACCCUUUGUCUGCUGAUGAAGGACUUUCCAAGGACAGUGUGAAUGCCAAGCAGUCAGCCUUUCAAGAAACUACAUCCACUUCCAUUGCUGUCAGGUAACAAAUUAAUGCUUAAUAUGGCGUUAGAAUAGUGAUAGACU
rnacentral:lncRNA from 1 species